AUACACAACUGUUCGGCGGCCCUCCGCUCCGCAACUCCGCUUCGGGAGCGGCACCGAACACCUCAACUCCGUGAGUCUCUAAUCUGGGAGUGGAGCGGCACAUAGUAGAUUUUCCCGACGUAGCAAAAGUGAUGCUCCACGAACUCUGCCUUGGCUCCGCGUAAGAAACAGCCUUGAAGAAAAGAGCGUCUUGCCCAGCCCCAAUUCCCCUCGCCUCCAAGCCUAGCCGCCGCCGCACGCGCAUCGUCGCCGCCCCGACGCGCCACUCGCCAGUGCUGCACCACACGUUCCCCCGCAUAUGUCUCGUCCCCGACCUCACCCAGCCGUGCAUCUCCGCCUCCCGCUGUACCGCCCGCCCUACCAGCCCCGCCGCCCUCACUCUGGUCGUGCUUCAACGCCGCCAGCCAUCACCGAGCCCCUACACGGACGUCACUGAUGCUGCCGGCCGUCCUCAUCCUCCUCCACAUCCCGCUUCCCAGCGCCUCCCUCCAUCCAAUUCUUCACCAAGGCCCUGCACUCCGUCUCUUCACCGAGCACAAACGCCGCUGGCCGUCCUCGUCCUUCCAUAUAUCCGGCAAGCUGAGGACAUCACAUCAGCAGUUCAGCACCCCUUUAUUUUUUCUACCCAACCCGUAGCACCUAUCCCAGCCGGUGAUGGAUGUACAUUAUUUUCUGAAACUUGUUUUCAGGAGUUGGAGUUGGCAGCCGAACAUAUCUUCAGAUUCUGAAAUGAGCUACCGGAGUUAAGAGUUGAGGAGUGAGGAGCAGAGUUAAGAAUUUGGAGGAGUGGAGUGUUGCCGAACAGGAUGCCUUUGCAGAUCUUUUGGUUCUCAGGUUUAAAUAGAUGAUAACAUGAGAUACACUUUAGAAUGCGCUGAGGAUGGCAUGAGGGUUCUGCUAUUUGAUUACGAUAACUCAUAACCCUUGUGCAAAACUGGAGCUAUUCAACCAUAUCCGUUGGUGGUGAAGGUUCGGAAUGCAAGAGGUUGAGCAGAAACUUCUCUCAUGGGUAGCACCUGAGAGCUGACAUUCUUCUCCAGUGUGACAAGUAGAAUUAUGCUCAAGCAGAGGAGCUCGCUUUAUGAAGGAGGUCAUUGGUACCCUUUCAACAUCUCAAUACAUGAUCAUGUCAAGGGUAAAGCAGAAUACUCCAUAUCUUUGUUCGAGAGAGAAUGAUGAUUGAACAUCGCCUCACUGCAAUAUGCUGGGUGUAGGCCUGGAAGGCAACCAAACUCAGUCUAGUAUGCCCUGAGAUGAUUCAAGAUCUGCACACACAGUCACACGUCGAAGAUAUAUUCUUUAUCAGCAUGUUAGCUUCUGUGGUGUAUAUACUGCCACUGUUAUAUGCAUUUGUUGAAUCAAAUAGUUAAUAUCAAAUGAUAUGAUGCACAUGAUCUUAUGAA